GAUCGUGAUCGAUCAAUGAAUAUUUUUCCCUUCAUUUUUAUAGGUAUUUGUCAUUCUUCUAUAGAAAUCAUUCACUCUUCCCAUAUCCUUACCCGCGCAAAAGCACUGAAACAAUCAUAUUGUUCAACAUGGCAACUUUCGUGAAUUCUUGUUUUUGUGGUUUGGUAACAUUAAAAACUGGCGCGAUCAGCAUUAUAACUCUGUAUUGGUCAUGGUCAAUAGCCCUAUUAAUUACUGAUUCCAAAUUAGCAACCCCACCUUUUCCAAACCGGAGCUGGAUAGGUUUAAGUUCGGCGAUUUCUUCAACUAGUGGCCUACAUGGAACACGCUGGGUUAAAAAAAUAUUUUUGUGAAGUUCAAUUUUGUUAUCACAUUUUUACCUAUUAAUUUAUUUGAUGUCGGUAGGGAAAGCCAGCGUACAUGGUACCAGAGGUGUUGAUGGAAGCUGUUAAUUUUAUAUUAUACUUGGCCAAUCUUAUCACGUUUGUCAUUACAACUAAAUUACUGAUGCCAAAUAUUGAACUUUCAGCGUGGAUUUACGCUGUUCCAGGAUAUAAUGUGGAAAAUGCGACGUACGGAAUAUUUUUCGUGGUGGUUACAAUCAUCAAUCUUGUAUUUCGAUUUUAUUUUCUUUUGGUUGUGAUAAGUUACGCUCAAAAAUUAUGGUGCAGAGAAAUACAAGAAGAAAGAUCCAAUGUUUCUACAUCCACCCGACCUACUGCUGCUACAUCCGCUACAUCCACCCGACGGACUCCAUGAACAAUUAAUUCAGAUGAUUAUUGAAAAUAUCUACUUGAAUAUUUAUUAGAAAUAGAAAUUUAUUUUCAAUCGUUCAUUCUUCGAUGAAAAUGUGUUAUUGGGUAUUUCUUGUUA